GUGGUGGUAUCAGACGUGGUGUUUUGUGCUCUUGAAUUAAACAGGGAAAUGUCAGUUUGUGUUGAACGAUGGAAGAUACAUACACGUCUAGGGAAUCUACGCGUGGAAUGUAGGACAAUGGCACAUUUAUAUGAAGUUAGAGGUCCCAGAAUUCAGCGUAUUCUUGACGAACAAUUAGAGCGUCUUUCUCCAGCAAAGAUGACCACGUUGUAGAAUCGAGACUCCCUUGAAGAAUCAGUUACAAUGGGACAUCCACUGCGUCUGUCCACGACUGGCCGAUUCUACUUGCGGGCAUUUCUCCCUGGAUUCGGUCUCUCUUCGGAAAAACGACGGAUGAAGUGAACGACGACGAAAUUUGGAAG